UUUAAAAAAUAUUAGUUUGCCUAAGUAUACAGUGUUGAUAAAGCCUACAGUAGUAUACAGUAAUGUCCUAGGCCUUCCCAUUCACUCAACAGUCACUCACUGACUCACCCAAAGCAACUUCCAGUCCUGUAAACCAUUCAUAGUAAGUAUCCCAUACAGGUGUGCCACUUCUUAUCUUUAUACCAUAUUUUUACUUAAACUUCUCUAUGUUUGGCUACAUUUAGAUACACCAAUAUUUCCCAUUGUGUUACAGUUGCCUACGGUAUUCAGUACAGAAACAUGCUGUAGAGGUUUGUAUCCUAGGAGCAACAGGCUGUACCAUAUAGCCUGGGUGCACAG